UUGUGUUCGUAUCUACUGUUUGUUUGUCCCUACAAUUCGAUCCCUACAUUUGCGCCUCGUCCUCAUUGUAUUCGCGUAAAUUAUAGUCGGUAUAGUGCGACAGAUCAGUCACGCGAAAACUGUUGAUAGGAAAAAUUUGAAGUUCUUGUGCCCGCGCUCGACGCUCCCUUCGUCAGGUGUGCCAAUAGUCGCGAGCGACAUGCUUUUCGAGGUUUGACCGGCCAAUCAAAGUUGGUCUUGCUUUGAUCGUUUCGAUAUUUCGAGAAUCGCAAUAUUGUUCUCGAUGUAUAUUUUCGCAAUCACACAGUCAGUGACGGAUCACCGCGUAUUGUAUUCAAAUUGCUGAAUCCCGUUACUGGAUUCAUUCCCGGAUGCUGAGAAUUUAAGAGACAAAUAUUAUUUCUAUACAACAAAAUAGCCUGUAUCGCUGACACGGUGAUCAUUACGUUUUAUCCGGUAUUCACGUACGAGCGAGCAGGAAAAGAGACGAGUGGACGAAAGGAUGGAGUGAGGAGGAGGGGCGAGCGAAACGAGAUUACGACCGGGCACACAAGGCACUAGCUACUAUGAGGUCAUCUUUGCAACUGCGCCGCACGGACUUCGUGUUUCCACAAAGUACGAGACACCGUGAGUACAUUUAUAACGCUGAUGGGGCUCGUAAUGGACUUAUAACAGCGUUUAUGCGGCCGUCUCUAAGCGCAGUGUACAGUUUAAAUCAUCAGGAUCUGAGAGAAGGUGACUGAGUAACUCCGCUCGUUGCGCAUCGGAUUGAAUACUGCUGGCAAAAUGUGCAACUAACAUGUCAGAGGAAUUUCUGCUGAUAUCUGCAGGUACACGUUUACUCUCAGAAAGAUAAUACCAUCGCUCGUUUAAUUCUUCAAUCGGCGAUUUAUCGAGAUCUAUAUUCUCAGGAUCUGUACCCGCGACCUGUAAAUCGACAUAGACAAGUUCAGACGCAGCACGAGGAAAGUAAGUAGCUCUGUUCGCUUCUGUUACCGCACCUUUUCGAUUCGCAGCGUGAACUCUUCGAUUUCCCGAGGCAUUCCAUUUGCCUCGAAACUGGUUCGUGUGCCUAGUAAUUCUCGUUCGCCCCGCGAAUAGCGCGCCGAUAAAUCGCCUAAAAGAAGCCAAUUUAUUCGCGCUUAUAAUCGCACUUGCGAAUACUUCGCGAAACGGUUUGUGAAAGAGACAAUCGAAUGCGCCCGUCGGCGAUAUCCAUUUGACCGACGACGUAGGCAGAACGAAACGCUAGCUGCUACGCUGCAAAUACACUAACAAUAAAACAAUAGAGAAGCAAAUCGAGCAUUAUUGGUUUCUCUGCGUUCUCCAUCUUCUUCUGUGAUAAUGGAUACGUAAACAGCUUGCUAUUUGACUUCUUUCUUUAUUGACUUUAUGUAAAUGUUACGGAUACAUAAAGUGACCAGGUAAUCCGUAUGACAAUUCCGAAAAAUGUUAAAUGUAAAAUUACAAUCUCUAGUUUUCCAAAUCAACAAUUUUGACAAUUACACGAUGACGGCGAAUUGAUUUUUUUUAUUUUGAAUUUAUCUUUCUCCUUUUUUUAAAAAAAGACUUUUGUCAUUUUUGUGAAAAAAUAAAUUACCCGAUGGUGUGAUGCCUAAUAUCUUUCAAUAACUAUUUUUCAGGUAAAGAUAUUCGUCAAUGAAAAGUCCUAAAAGUUCCUUUUCUUCGCUGAAAUCUCUCUAGUUACGUAUUUAAUUUAACGGAUAGCUAUUCACACUAACUUUAGACACAAAAUGUAUUAAAAUUUCAAUAGAAAUUAUGAUAUUCUCUGGAAGAUGACUUAUGGAUACAGUUAUCUAAAUAUGAAGAAAUUGGGCAUUAAUCAAACUGCACGUAUCGCAAGACAGCAACAGCAUUUUUUCCUUCAUUGAAAAAUAUUUUUACCUUUUAUUUAAUUUCAUUAAUAAAGCGAUAUUUUUAGCAGACGAAAAUAAUGUUACAUGAGACAGGUCUUUUCGUCUAUUCCCUGAUAUCGAUCUAGCGAUACUUAACGAAGCCAAUACGGAAGGUCCUGGUAGGUGUAAAUUAUAAAUGAAUCGAGUAAAAUAUGAAGGGUGGCUUAAUGAGCACUGUUACGGAUUGAUUAGAACCAAGACCGAGGCAGCGGCUGUUGGAAAUAAAUUUCUUACUGAACGUUAAUUUACGUUGCGGAGGGUGCAAAGAGGCAAAGCAGAAGCCUACAUGUUUUUUCGAGAGGAAGAAAUUGCUUAUUCCGAGACGCUGGUGAAAAAUGGAAGAAAAAGAUUUUGAGAGUGCGGUAAACGAAUCGAGAUGGGACCGAAAUAAAAUAGGAAGCGAGAAAGAGAGAAAGAGAGAGAGAGAGAGAGCGACGUGUAAUAAGAGAUAGGAAAAACGCCCGCGUGAGAGAAAUCGAAUAUCGAAAUUGAGAAUGAUUCGCGAUGGACAUCGCGAGAAGUUCUACAAUUGUGAGAAAACGUGCAAAUGAAAAAAAAAAAAGAAAAUGGGAGACACAAAAAAUUUUUCCGCGUCAGCAGAUGCGACUAACGUGAAAGACGUAAAGUGGAAAGUAAAUGAAGAGGUGUUGAAGGCGGGGGAUAAGGAAAUCCAAGGCAAGGCCGUAUCUCCAGCUGCCAAUAAAGCCGUUUAAUCAGCAGCGGUUACUUUACUGAAUAUAUCGAAAGUCGUAAUGCAGCUGUGCGUUAGAUGUAAUCCUUACGACUGCUAAUUUCAAGUCGGCGCACGCUCAGGGCGGGGAAAAGGGAGAGAAAAGGGAAAUGAGAACACGGUAUACGAUAUUGUGCGGUACGAGCCAAAACGAAGCAGCCCGAGCACCCAAGUUUCCUCGGCCCGAGGGUCGUGCGAGCGAGGAAAGUUUUAACGGAAUAACAGAGAGAAAAUCCAGGGAGAGUCGCGCCGAGCAAAGGUAGAAAUGCGCGAGAGUGCGAGAGAUGCGCUUUUUUUUAGAGAGCGAUCAGAUGGAUGGAUGGAUGGAUGGAUGGCUGGAUGGAUGGAUGGAUGGAUGGAUGGAUGGAUGGAUGGACGGAUCGAUUGACCACACGAUACGAUGUAGUUUACUGUGUACAAAAGAGCGAAGCGUAGAAAACAAGAGAAAACGGUGAAACGGCAAAAAUAUAGAAAUAAUCAAAAAGUAUUUUAAUUAUUUAUUCUUAGAGGCGCGUUCUGUAUUUUCUUUCAAUGUAGCAAUUUUUUAAAUUUAUAUAUAUUUAAUUAGUUUAAUGUGUAGUAAAGUUUAAAGUUUAUACAAAGAUAUUUUUAAGAUAAUUGCAAAUAGACUUACAAAUCUAAUUAUUUAAUGAAACAAUGUUUUUUUGUUAGAUAAAUUAAAUGUCCCAGUGAUCGAUCAUGUCUCCACUCGAACACUUACACAGACGCUUAUUAUUAAUUCUAAAUGUGUUUUUCAUAAUAUUAAAAUUUAAUUGCAAUUAAAAACUUAAAGAUAAUUGUAACAUUAUUAUUUUAAAUAUUAUAAAAACAUUAAAAAAAAGAAUAAAUUUAUUAGACAACUAUAUUUAUAUUUUUAUGAUGUUAUUAAAACUUUUUAAGAAGCAUAUUAUGUUUUUUUGUAUUAAGAUAAUGUUUUUAAUAUUUAUUGUACGGUACUCCAAGUAUGUACUACAACACUAAUAUAGACUUGAGAAAGGUUAGAUCUGAUGGGAGUGCUGGGUCUGAUAAUGAUUACGACUAACAGUUAGCGAACAGUCGAACUUGGACUACGCUCUUGGUAGGAAAGUGGCGUACAACUUUGUACCCGAGGUAGUCGACGCUACUAAAAAACGCUGCGGAGUAACCAUAAAAGUGAUAUCAACGCUCUCGUGGAACAGAAUCUGGAGUCUCAAGUCUAGUUCUUUGCUAGAACUCAUCACAGCGAAGGAUAUCAAGUUGUUGUCAGCUCUUAAAAAAAAAAGAAUUAAUAAAAGUGUUUCACUAAACUAAUUACUAUAUCAGUUUAUUGAAUCACUUAACAAUUUUUUUUCUCAAAGGUAAGAAUACCGGUGGGGAUCUUUCCUUACACUUCCACCUGGAUAAACAGUGGACACGAAGCGGGAUAUGAAUUUCCUAUUAGGGAAAGGGAUAUGACAGUAUCCCCCAAAUAUUCUGGAAAAGUACUUUCUGAUCCUAUAUCUCUUCCAUCGUAGCCAGUUCGUCUGGAAAAAAUGUCCAACGAAAUUAUUGGGAUUUGAAUCCGGGACUCUCAGCAUACAAAUUUGAUAUUGUAGAGGGAAAGCUAUAGAAUUAUUGACUCGCAUUAAGAGCAAGUAUUUAGGACAAGUCUUUACGACAUUAAAGAAAGCAUUGUCCGGAUAUUGAUUCAUUCAAAUGCUUUACAAGUUCCUAUUAUUUUCGUAAUAAUUAAACAAUUUUUCAAAUGUUAAUAAUAACGCUUUAUAUUUUAUACUUUAAUUAAUUGUAUAAUUGGAUCAUUUUAUAUCCUUACAAAAAUUAUUAUUAUAAAUUUGUUUAUAAAUGAUAGCUAUUAUUAACAAAAAUUCAACAAUUUUGGCUUUACAUCGUUACAUGUCCAGUUACUGGAAUACUUAUAGUUUAUUUUAUGCCAUGGUACACAAAUUUGUUAGUUAUACAGAUCGCAUAAUAAGAAUAUAAUAUCAAUAUCACAACACAUGAAGGGUGAGCCGACAGCCAAGCAGCUGAUAUGAUGUCCUAGACAUUAUUUUAUAUAAUUAAUAUAAUUAUCCAUUUUUAAAUAUAUACAUUAGUAAGAGAUUAAUAAGCAGAAAUGUAUUAUACAGUUAUUCUGAGCUGCUGCACACCGGCACGUUAUGUUCUAAAUGCUGUGAACUAUCAAAAAGUGAUUAGCAAGAUGUAGCAAGGAAUACUAUUGUUAAUAAUUUAAGUAAUAAUAAACAUGUAUAAUAGCACAAA